rnacentral:lncRNA from 1 species
AACAGUUUUAUGCUGAUUAUCAACCAAUUAACCUUUGCUUUUUUUCUGAACCGCAUCUAUUCAAUGUCUGCAUUUGAUUUUGUUUUAUUUUUUUUCCAGGCUGAAAGGAUUAUCCUGUUGCAUUGUAAACAACCACUAAACCUUCUAAAGAGAUUUCUCAUCUGCACUGUUUUGCUGUGGAUGUGUCAACCCAGAACAACCAGCCUUUCCUUGACUCUGGUGUCAACUACACGUGUGCACUGUUGUUUAAACAUGCAGUUUCUGUGUUUCUCACUCUGACAGGCUGCUUUGUCUGUUUUGACUCCUGUGCUUCCUCUAUUGUAUAUUCUGAAGUCAGCUACAGUUUUCAGUAAUACUUCUAGCGUAAGUCUGUUUAAAAGCAUAAAG